UAAAGUCUGGCCUGCCCACUGAUGUUUUUAAGGGCCGCGGUAAUUUGACCGUGCGAAGGUAGCAUAAUCAGUAGUCUUUUAAUUGGAGGCUGGAAUGAAUGGUUGGACAAGGGGGAAGCUGUCUCUUUUUACAAUUUUUGAAUUUUACUUUUAAGUGAAAAGGCUUAAAUAAUUUGGG
rnacentral:rRNA from 1 species